rnacentral:lncRNA from 1 species
CUCCUCAGCAGGCCUCUUAUUUUCACCGUUUUGGUGGUGCUGCGAGGGACUGCUAUGCUGCAGUUGACCACAUAUGAGCUUCUCCCUUCCCAGAUCACCCCGGGCAACCGUUAUUCCUUUUAACAUUGGGGACGAGAGAAAGAGAAGCAGCCGACCACCUCCACGCAGGCRACAUCCCCGUGCAGCGGUAACCUCUGCUGUGCAGCGAGCUGAACCAGUCGCAUGGUGAAAAAUGGCCGGAGCGAAGCCAAGGACACGGUCCUUUGUGCUGCAUAAAGGACUUGUGUCCAACCGUAGGUUUGCUUAUAACUGUUAUAAAGCAUGUAUAUACACAUGCAACAAAAAUUACAAGACAACCAAAUCAAGGAAGUUUUAUUUACUGGUGGACACCUUAUGAAAAAUUCCUGCAGGAAGAGUUUUAUUUUCUAAAACCCCAAAGCCAUCGUGGAAUUUUUUCUGCGGGUUUAGCUGAAACAUUUGGAUGACCAUAUGGAACUCUUAGUGGUGCCAUGGGACCAUGCAGCUAUGAAAUCUGAUCACUAUCUCCCUAGUGACAGCUGGAGCCUUUACACCAUCAGAAAAUUUUCAGACUUCUAAUUUGUCAUAACUACCUCCUGUGGAAAGAAAAUAUGUUAUGUAGUUAGAUACAAGAAUCUGAGGCUACAGAACUACGCAUAUCGGCUUCUUUUCCUUUUAGCUUUCAAGCUUCAAAUUAAUUCCUUGACUGCAUUUUAUGACUCAUUGAUGCAAGAAAUAAAAUAUACACACAAAAAGAAUACA